GAAAAAUAGAUGGGUUUUGUUUGGUUUUUUUUGUUUGUUUCUUGGUAAUAAUCCAGCAGGUUUCCAUCCUCAUUCCUCUCCACUAUGUUCUGUUGUUCUGGGAAGUCAGUGUUGUGAUUAAGAGUUUUAUUGUGCAUUGAUCAAGCAAAGGCAUUGAGACUUGGUAUUUUGGCUUUCGCUAAUGAUGGUAACAAGUUCAGUUAACACAGGUAAACCUGCAGUGCUCCUGCGAUCAAUGGCUUACCAGGCAGAGAGGGAAGAGAUGGUCCCAAAGCUGACAAAGGAGAACCAGGGGCCAGCUCUCAAAACCAGAAAUCAUGCUUGCAAGAGUUGUCUACUAAUCUGA
rnacentral:lncRNA from 1 species